rnacentral:piRNA from 1 species
UCCUCACUUCAGAUGCCAAUGGCAAGUCCUA